rnacentral:rRNA from 1 species
CAUAAACGACUCUCGGCAACGGAUAUCUCGGCUCACGCAUCGAUGAAGAACGUAGCAAAAUGCGAUACUUGGUGUGAAUUGCAGAAUCCCGUGAACCAUCGAGUUUUUGAACGCAAGUUGCGCCCGAAGCCAUUCGGCCGAGGGCACGUCUGCCUGGGCGUCACG